GACGAACGCUGGCGGCGUGCUUAACACAUGCAAGUCGAACGAAGUGGCGAACGGGUGAGUAACGUGUAUUCAACCUGCCCUUCAGAGGGGGACAACAGUUGGAAACGACUCCUAAUACCGCAUACUGAAGGAGGGGUUUGCGUCUGAUUAGCUAGCUGGGGGGGUAACGGCCCACCAAGGCGAUGAUCAGUAGCCGGUCUGAGAGGGAGAACGGCCAACAUGGGACUGGGGACCGGGCCAGACUCCUACGGGAGGAAGCAGUGGGGAAGUGUCCGCAAUGGAGGGAAGUCUUACUGAGCAACGGCGCGUGAGUGAUAACGGGCUUUGGGUUGUAAAGCUCUGUUAAUCGGGACGCGGUACCGGAAUAGAAAGCAACGGCUAACUACGUGCCAGCAGCCGCGGUAAUUC
rnacentral:rRNA from 1 species